CGCAAUCACAAAAUGGCGCUGUGUGGCAUGAAGUUGUAUCAGUAGACGCUUUUAUUGAACUCAUAUUGUUUGAGAGUGCUAUUUUGUCCAUGGGCACACUUGAAUUGGGCAGCUAAUACGCAAAUGGAAAAUACAAACCAUCGAUAUAAAAGCAAGGACUACUGGGAUGAGAGGUAUGGGUCCGAGGACUCGUACGAAUGGUUUCACAGGAUACCCAGCCUUUCGACACAUCGUGGUAGGAAAGAUCAAGAAAACAGACCGUAUAUUGGUACUUGGGUGUGGUAAUAGUUUACUAAGCAAAGACUUGUAUGAUGAUGGAUACACAGAUAUAGUUAAUGUGGAUUAUUCCAAAGUGUGUAUUGAUAAAAUGAAGCAGAGAUAUCGUAAUUGUCCUGGAAUGGAGUGGAGGACAAUGGACAUAGGAAAUUAGACUUUCAGGAUAGUAGUUUUGAUGUCGUUUUGGAGAAAGGAACCAUUGAUUCUUUAUUAGUAGAAGAAAAAGAUCCGUGGAAUGUUUCUGAGGAAGCAAAGAAAUUGAUGCAUAAUGUACUGAAUGAGACUAGCAGAGUUUUAAAGACUGGAGGACACUUUAUAUCAGUAACAUUUGGUCAGCCACAUUUCAGAAGGCCAUUACUUGCAAAGACAGAAUACAACUGGUCAAUUCAACAUCAGACAUUUGGAGACUACUUUCACUAUUUUGUUUAUUCCACAACUAAAGGUGAACUGCUCUCCCUUCAAGACUUGCAGUCACAAAGCAUUGUGGGUAAAACAUAUGGGGAGACGGAGUACUUGGAUUAUUUUGACAAUGAAAAUUUUUUGUACCAAAUUGAAAUCAGUUAGAUUUUGUUAUUUAUUUUGAAUUACUGUAAAACAUGUCUUUCUCGCGAGCAUGUCCACAAUUCGUUAAAAUUGCAUGCCGCUUUUUCAACAUGUUUUACAGUAUAUCUCCAAAAUUAUAGUAUAGUUAAAAACUUCAGUUACCGGUAAACCUGAACAGUUUCAGCCACUAUACAAUAUCAUGCAUUUCAAGAUUAUGCUUAGUUUUAAGUUUAAUUUAAAAAAUUAGAAAUUAUAUUCAUAUGUCAAAGUCACAUGAGAGAUAUAGCAUCACUGCAGUUAUCAAACAUUCAAAAAUUGGUGGCAGCCAUUUCUGAGGACUCACAGUUUAUUGAAUCCAUAUUCUUGGGAAUGGUGUGAUAUUUCACACUCUCAAAAAUUUGUCAUCAAUAUU